UCCUGACCUCGGAUCAGUCGUGAUUACCCGCUGAACUUAAGCAUAUCAAUAAGCGGAGGA
rnacentral:rRNA from 2 species